rnacentral:lncRNA from 1 species
UUGAAACUGAUCCAGUCGCCGAAUACCAAAUAUUUGGCUCUCAUUCUCCCGCCCGCCUAGAAUACACCACGGACUUCGUCAUCUUCAUCUUCGACCAUUUCGUAGAAAUUUUUUUUGUCAAGUCUAGCUCUCUCAUUAAAAUGUUUCUGCAUCAUCGAGUCUUCUUCUCGUUUAAGUAGACUUAGGUACGACGGGAUUAGGUGAUUCCUCAGAUCCUCCACCGUGAAUCCAACUUACCUUGCCCCUCUAGCUAUUUGUCUCAUUAUGUGGAACAAACGUUGGAGUG